AUUGAACGCUGGCGGCAGACUUAACACAUGCAAGUCGAGCGAGCGGCGGACGGGUGAGUAAUGUCUGGGAAACUGCCUGAUGGAGGGGGAUAACUACUGGAAACGGUAGAUAAUACCGCAUACCAUCAGAUGUGCCCAGAUGGGAUUAGCUAGUAGGUGGGGUAAUGGCUAACCUAGGCGACGAUCCCUAGCUGGCCUGAGAGGAUGACCAGCCACACUGGAACGGUGCAACGGUCAAGACUCCUACGGGAGGCAGCAGUGGGGAAUAUUGCACAAUGGGCGAAAGCCUGAUGCAGCCAUGCCGGGUGUGUGAAGAAGUCCUUCGGGUGGAAAAGCACUUUCAGCGAGGAGGCGUUACUCGCAGAAGAAGCACCGGCUAACUCCGUGCCAGCAGCCGCGGUAAUAC
rnacentral:rRNA from 1 species